rnacentral:rRNA from 1 species
UNAGGAAUAUUGGGCAAUGGACGCAAGUCUGACCCAGCCAUCCCGCGUGCAGGACGAAUGCCCUAUGGGUUGUAAACUGNUUUUGUUUGGNAAAAAAUGUAUUCUUUUAANAGUAUUUGACGGUACCAGACGAAUAAGCACCGGCUAACUCCGUGCCAGCAGCCGCGGUAAUACAAU